rnacentral:rRNA from 1 species
UACGGAGGGUGCAAGCGUUGCUCGGAAUCACUGGGCGUAAAGGGCGUGUAGGCGGUCUCGUAUGUCUGACGUGAAAGCCCCGGGCUCAACCCGGGAAGUGCGUUGGAAACUGCGAGACUAGAGUCUCGGAGAGGAAGGUGGAAUUCCAGGUGUAGCGGUGAAAUGCGUAGAUAUCUGGAAGAACACCGAUGGCGAAGGCAAUCCCCUGGGCCUGCACUGACGCUCAUGCACGAAAGCGUGGGGAGCAAACAGG